rnacentral:rRNA from 1 species
AUUGAACGCUGGCGGAAUGCUUUACACAUGCAAGUCGAACGGUAGAGGGGGCAACCCCUCGAGAGUGGCGAACGGGUGAGUAAUAUAUCGGAACGUGCCCAGUCGUGGGGGAUAACGUAGCGAAAGUUACGCUAAUACCGCAUACGAUCUAAGGAUGAAAGCGGGGGAUCGCAAGACCUCGCGCGAUUGGAGCGGCCGAUAUCAGAUUAGGUAGUUGGUGAGGUAAGAGCUCACCAAGGCGACGAUCAGUAGCUGGUCUGAGAGGACGACCAGCCACACUGGGACUGAGACACGGCCCAGACUCCCACGGGAGGCAGCAGUGGGGAAUUUUGGACAAUGGGGGCAACCCUGAUCCAGCAAUGCCGCGUGUGUGAAGAAGGCCUUCGGGUUGUAAAGCACUUUUGUCUGGAAAGAAAUCGCCCGGGUGAAUACCCUGGGUGGAUGACGGUACCGGAAGAAUCAGCACCGGCUAACUACGUGCCAGCCGCCGCCGUAAUAC